rnacentral:rRNA from 1 species
GACGAACGCUGGCGGCGUGCUUAACACAUGCAAGUCGAACGGAAAGGCCCUGCUUUUGUGGGGUGCUCGAGUGGCGAACGGGUGAGUAACACGUGUGUAACCUGCCCUUGACUUUGGGAUAACUUCAGGAAACUGGGGCUAAUACCGGAUAGGAGCUCCUGCUGCAUGGUGGGGGAUGGAAAGUUUCGGCGGUUGGGGAUGGACUCGCGGCUUAUCAGCUUGUUGGUGAGGUAGUGGCUUACCAAGGCUUUGACGGGUAGCCGGCCUGAGAGGGUGACCGGCCACAUUGGGACUGAGAUACGGCGCAGACUCCUACGGGAGGCAGCAGUGGGGAAUAUUGCACAAUGGGCGGAAGCCUGAUGCAGCAACGCCGCGUGCGGGAUGACGGCCUUCGGGUUGUAAACCGCUUUCGCCUGUGACGAAGCGUGAGUGACGGUAAUGGGUAAAGAAGCACCGGCUAACUACGUG